GUCUAUCUGGAAGCACUCCAAAGCUGAGAAAAGGUCAUUCAAAUUAAGAAGUUACCUCAGUAGCUCAGGCCCCGGCUGAGGGACGUGGGUGUUGGCCACACCUACGUGGACGCCGAGGUCAUGGGUCCUGAUCAGCUGCAAGAGAUUCCUAUUGCAAAUGUGCGUGCAAAUGAGCCAGGAACCCAGGUGCUGGAACUGAGCCAUCCCCUCGCUAUCCCUAACUCCCCACAUAUGUGGCAGUGCGUCUUCUGGGUGUAUUCUCCCUCACCACCAUCCAGGAGAAGCAGAUGAAUAAUUCAUGGUGCCCCCAUGCAGGUCUUCUCUGAGACUUCCCUGCAACACGUCUGAGCCGGCGAAGGACCAGGGAACUUACAAACAGCCACAGUGUGCUGUGUCAAAGAACAGUCAAUCAAUCUCCAAAGAAAUGUGAAGAGAACAGGUUUUUCAUGCCUGUGCGUUGGGAGGAAGCCAAACGUGUGUUGCUAUUUGAUGGUAGAAUCAGUGUACACCUGUUCCCACCAGCUGCCAACAUAACCUGUGUCAGAUGCACGCGUCGCACCCGCAGCAUCCGCACAGCGGGCCGUGUCUGUGUGACAGUCGGGACAGACAGCACCAGGAACUUGGGGACCAGGCAAGGGGGAGCUUGCAGAGCCACUGCAGGGACACAGAUGUGUGAGGAACGUGAUAAAGGAAGGAAACAUCUGAGGGAAUACGCUCAAACAAAACAGCAAAUGUCAUUUGCAUUAUAUAAUUAUGGCCAACCAUGGAGUCCUUUGUAAUAACACUCGGUAGGCCAAUGUUAAACCUACAGUGACUGAUAAAAAGGCCUCAGCUUGAAAAAAGGUCAGCGUGAAUUAGUAUAUAUUUGCUGAUUAAUUCAGAGUGUGCCUUCGUAAAUUUUAUAGUCCGCGGCCCCAGCCUGGUUUGAGACCUAUGAAAUUCAAAUGCACCUGAUUCAGCACACACUAGCACUCGGACCUGGCAUUGUGCUUUGUGGAAAACUUCAUCAUGCACAUGCGGACACGUGCAGGCAUGUGGCCGGAUGGACAGACCACUGGAUUUGGGAACGUACGUAAAAUAAGACACGUGCCCGGGGACAACACUUGCCACCUGCCCGUGUGUGCCGGGCUGUGGCAGGUCUGCUGGAAGGAUUCCUGCCUUUUUUACCCAAAUCUCCAUAAUCAGGGCUGUUGAUUGCAAUGUGAGGCUCUUAUGAUGCUGUCUAGUCAGUGUUCAAAGGAAAAAGUAGGUGUGUGUGUG